CAGACUGGCCGGAAGACAUCUAAUUAGUGGUCCUUUCGGGCUCAACAUCAGCGGUGAUUUUGUGAAAACUUAAAGCUAAAGUGGCAUGUCAGUGACAUAGUGUGUUGGUGUAAAUGGUGGGGUCACAGAUGGAAGAUGAGAGGCCACAGUCACAGACAUAGGGACCUGUUGGGCGGGGUUUGGUGACGGUCAAGGCCGUGCUGCCCCGGGUGAUGGUGGGCAGGGCGCGUCCUGCAGGGUUGCCGACCUGGAAGCCACUGGCCAGGCUGGGGGUGCCCAGGGCUCCGUCCCACAGAGAAUGCCUGGUCCCCAGUGACCCAGGCCCUCUCCCUUCCCCCCACUGACUCUCUCCCACCUUUUCUCUCUGCAGCCUUUGCUAGGGAAAGCCUGUUUGUAAGUAUUUUUCUCUGAAUUCUUUUGCUCUUUGCAUCUCUUUCUCCUUGCUUGCCAGCUUGGCCCUCCUGCCUGUUGUGGUGAGGCUAACGGCAGUUUAUGUAAAAUCUGAAGGAGGAAGGAGAACGGGUCCGUGAAUUUUCAGGACAGGACGCAGGGCGUGGGUGUUCCGUGCGUCCUCCUGCCGUCCUGGCCGCCGCCGCCUUCUCCUCGCUCCCUCUCGGGGCGGGGGUGACUGUCAGUGUUUGCGGUUCUCCGUGGCUAGACAUCGGUCUGCUUUUUCCCUCUUAGCGUCAGACGUUGGUGGGAAGCUGGGUCUUUGCCUUUUGAUGUUGUCUUUUAUGUUCUGGGCCUCCCCCAAGAGCCCUACCAUUUUGAGAGGGAAGUUUGCGCAGAGCAAAGUUUAUGCAGAGCCUAACCUGCACAGUGAACUGUGGAGGAACCGAGUGCCCCCUCCUGUCCUGCAGGGAUCCCUCACCUUCAAGGGCUCCGGGACCCCGGCUCCGGGACCCCCGCUCCGGAGUGGUCUGCUUGGACACGACUGGUCCGCAUCGUAUUGUCCUGGAUCAGAACACUCCUGGCCUUUACGGUCAUGUCCAGGAUGGGGUGCGGCUGUCUCUCUGCAGUUUCUGGUUAAUUCAGCGCUGGUUAAUUCCACUGGAUAAACUCAGUGCUUCCUCUGCUCUGGUGGCCCCCAGCCACAGGAAUGAACUGAGGCCGUUAUAUCACAAAUUUUAACAAGAGACACCCUGAAAUAUCACCCUAACUCCUUGAGUCACACCUGCCCUGCCUUCCCCUUCGCUGGCUAGGCUCAUCCACACAGAAACAUGGCUUAUUCUUGGAAAAUAGGAGCUGCUGGGCAUUGUGUUUGGACUGAGUGAUACCUGCCCAGAAAUACACAUUGUCACUUUUCAGCUUGUACACGUCCCGAGUCUUUAGUCCUUAAAAUAAACCCAGGAGGUCGCAGGGCAGUUCUUGGCCCCACUUCCCAGAUGAGGGUGAGGCCUCGCCCACAAUCACCCUACCAGCCCUCAGCAGAAUCAGUGGUUGAAUGGCUGUCCAGUCCCAAAGGCUGGCUGCUUUCUCUCUGCUGGCUUCCAGAGCUGCCCGGGUCCCGUUCGCCUGCCCAUCCCAGGCACCCGGCAUUUGCAGCCUGUGGGGUGAGGCCCAGAGUAGUUUGGGUUCCUUUCUGGCUCUCGCAGCCUCUGCUUUGCAGCCGCUUCGUGCGGCUGCGACGUGUGUAUUUAACGGUGGGCUUGCCCAUCAGAGUCAGUCUGUAAGGGUAACAGUCCUGUGUCGGUGACCCCUUUGACACAUAGAAUGCCCCAAGGGUGAAUGUUCUUGUGUGAAAAGCAGCCUUCGGGGUUUGCAACCUUACAGUUUUGCAUCUGUGCAUGUCCUCUUCCUUUUGAUCCACAGCCUGGUGUUGCCAGGAAGGACAUCUUCCUGCUUAGAGAGGGCCAUUCAGCCACCCUUUGAGGUUGAAGUUGUCUCUUUCUAAGGCUGGUACUGCCUCUGGUCAGAACACCUCCAGUUCAGUGAAAAUGUAUUCUCUGCGUCCAUGCAGAUGUGCCAGUGUUCAGGUGUCGUGAUGAUGAGAAUAUGGAUGUAGCGCUUAGCAAAAUGCCUGGCUCGGGGCCAGUGCCUGGUGGACAAGAGCUGCUCCUGAGGGAGGCUCCGUGCCCUGUGCUUUGGCGGCCUGCCCAGGCUGGGGGUUCCUUCUCAUGGGCCGCAGGGGUCCUUAGGGACUGGGGACAGGGUGCCCUGGGGGUCUUAGGGUGGUGGCCCCAGGAUGCUGGCGUCCUGGUUAAGCAGGCACGUGGCAGACAGGUGGGACACAGCACCUACCCUGCAGCCCGUUCCCCGGGGGCCGGAGACCGUCUGGCCCUCACGGUGCACCCUUGACUUUUUUAUUUUUAUUUUUUUAGUCAUAAAUAAUGUGUUUAAUUAUUUAGCUUCUUAUAGUACUCACAUAGCAGAAAUUGACAAAGCCACGCUGUGGUUUAGUCACCCAGUCUCGUCCGACUCUCCUAUAACCCCAUGGACUGCAGCCCACCAGGCUCCUCUGUCCAUGGGGUUUCCCAGGCGAGAACAGCGGAGUGGGUUGCCAUGCCUCCUCGACUUUGAAAUGUCAAAUGCACGCUCAGAAGACAAUCCUACUAAAGAUGUUGUUUUGUUUUUCUUUCCCGACAUGUUUCUUCCUUCCCCCUUCUAUGCUUGAAAGACGAACUGUCUGUCAUAUUUUCUCAAAGUUCUCUCCUUACUAACCUUGGCAAGAACAUGAAAGGCUCCCCGGGCAGCGUGGACGCCUCCAGGACGCACUGACCGCCCCCCGCUUCACCCGGCUCCCGCCCUUCUUUCUGCCCGCGGCCAGCGAUCCGAGGACGUCUCACAGAGGGGAGCAGGGUGGAGGGCAGCGCGGAGGAGGGGCUGCUGCUCCAGGGGGACCGGGCCCCGCCUGCCCCUGCUCCCCCAGCUGUCGGGCUGCUCACCUCAUGGAUCCCAAGUGGCUCGGGAAGGACCAUGCGCAGAGGAAGCAGGACGUGGUGCCUCCAUGCGGGCUUGUUCAUCUUGUUCUGUACCUGCCCCGCUGGGGGUGAUGCUGGCCCCCGAGUCCUAACCUUAAGGGGGGCCAGGCUCUCAGCCGCUGAGGGUCAAGGGAAUGAAAGCUUCCAAGAGGCUCUUUGUGCAUCUGGCCUGGACGUUGCCUCCUGAAGGGAAGCUCAUGGCUUGAGCUGGGUGGGGCCUACCCAGGAGAGCCAGUCCUGCAGCUGAAGAGAGGAGCCCCGUGCUGGACCCGCUGGUCAGCCAGGCAGCAGCCCUCUGCGUGUUGCCCACCCUCCCGGGUCUGUCCUGCCUCUGAGGAGGGCAUGGCACAGUCUGGCAGGAGGAAAUAUGUUGCUGAAACAGCCCCGGGAGCCUCGCCUUCCAGCGCAAGCUCCCUGCUCAGCUCCCGGGCCUGCUGGCCUGUGCACUUUCUUAACGGCAGAGAAUGGGGCCUGAAACAUCUCACCUUCGGCAACUGAAGUUGCUCGGGGUUUGUGCCCUUGGGGCUGGAGCUCUGGAAGGUUGUGGGAGCCGGGUGUGCCUCUGGGGAGGUGAGGGGACCCCCCUACCCCAUAAAUGGCCAGGCAGCGAGCACUGGCAUUGUUGCAAGACUGACCCCGGACGACAGCAUGCGGAACAACGACCUGGCCCCCUCCUCCGGGACGUUCGUCCCCUCCUGUGCUUCCUGGGUGGGGACAGUGACCCGAGCCAGGCCGUGCUCAUGGCCUUGUCCUCCGGGAGGCUGGCCGGAAGGUGCGGAGCGGCACCCUGUGUGCAUGUGGAGACCUGCUGUGUCCUCAGCGCGGAGCGCUGCCCUGGGCGGGUCUGGAGGAGAGGAUGUCCUCACUUGCCUUCGAGGCACCCUUGGCAUUUCUAGUGGGGGCUGCUCAGAGCAGGCUGUGGACACGUGGUUCUGAACACCUGUAGUUUCUGCCUGCUGGUCUUCCCCUGGGGCCUCCGGGCACUUGAGGGGGUCAAGGCCCAGGAGAAGCGGUGUGAACGGGGAGGUAGAUCUUAUCCAGUGACCCUUUUCAGAAUCUCUAGAAGCCAGUGCCAAAGGUCACCUUCUCUUCCUGCCCUCCCCGCUCCUUCCCCCUCUUAGCUUGUGAAGUAGUCAUGGGGGUGGGGGGCCGUUUAGACAGCUGGAGCCUGGAGUGGGGAGAGGAGCUGUUUUUGUUUGUAUUUUUUGUUUGAGAGGAGCUUUUAGAAGAAAAAUGCAUGUUUCUCUGAUUGGGACUCAGUGGGGAGCGAGAGUGCGAUUCAGAGGCCCUACCAUCAGGUGUGUGGGUUUCACAUCAAACUUCAAACCCUCCCUUCCCAUCACUGGCCGUCUUCCCAAGGUGAUGUCUGUCUGUCUGUGUUCCUGUGCAGGGCCUGUGAUACUCUCCCUCUUUCCUGCUGCCUUGUCGUGUGUGUCCGUGUGCGUGUGUCUGUGUUUAGAUGGAGGGGCCUGCUGCCCUCCUCCUGAGGACGGCUCUUAUGUCCACCUUCUGGCUCCUCCUCUGGUGGUUGGAGCUGACCCUGACUUUUGACUCGUGACGGCUGAUCUGAGUGCUUAUCCUGGCCUCUGACUGCCCGAAAUUGGUGCAUUUACAAAGGAGGCCUGGCCCGACCAGGACCUUGGUUUGCAGGGGCUUUGAUGUGGAGAGAGAACCCCAGUGUGGGGGAAGGGAGGGGGGACAGGCCGAGAGCAGAGGCGGGAGGUCCAGGGGCCACAGACCGGACUUCCAGGGAGGGAGGGGCGGGCGGAGGCUGUGUCUGAGCCGCGGCCACGGGGCUUCUGCCUCGUUGACCACUGGCUUGCUUCUGCCUCGUUGAUCACUGGCUGUCACUCCCCUCCCCCAGAAGCUUCUGGGACCAAUAUUUUUAACUUCGCUUAUUCGUUUUGGGGUGGGCUUGCCCCUCCCCUUCUUCUGUCUUGAGACUGUGGGCAAAGCUCUUCAUUUGGGGGUGGGGAAGAAAGACUGUUUGAACCACGCCAAUGACGUUUUCGUUUCUAAUACUUGAAAUUUAUUUUUUUAUUAUUUUGAUAGCAGAUGUGCUAUUUAUUUAUUUAAUAUGUAUAAGGGAUCCUGAAGAUGGAAAGCUGUAUAGAUUGCAUUUUGUUGGUUGGUGGGCUUGGGGGCCUUUUACGUGUGACUUCUGACUUCUCUGUGUUCUCUAUAAAUUUGUCCAAAUUAAUUACCUGGGAUGAAGCUAGGCCAGCUUUCAGACGGAAAGCCUGUCGGAAAUUUGUAUAUUUUGCAGUUGCCAGAACAAUAAAAUACCUGGUUGAAAUACA